CCAGACUCCUACGGGAGGCAGCAGUGGGGAAUAUUGCGCAAUGGGGGAAACCCUGAUGCAGCGACGCCGCGUGAGUGAAGAAGUAUUUCGGUAUGUAAAGCUCUAUCAGCAGGAACGAGACAAGACGGUACCUGACUAAGAAGCCCCGGCUAACUACGUGCCAGCAGCCGCGGUAAUACGUAGGGGGCUAGCGUUAUCCGGAAUUACUGGGCGUAAAGGGUGCGUAGGUGGUUUCUUAAGUCAGAGGUGAAAGGCUACGGCUCAACCGUAGUAAGCCUUUGAAACUGGGAAACUUGAGUGCAGGAGAGGAGAGUGGAAUUCCUAGUGUAGCGGUGAAAUGCGUAGAUAUUAGGAGGAACACCAGUGGCGAAGGCGGCUUACUGGACUGUAACUGACGUUGAGGCUCGAAAGCGUGGGGAGCAAACAGGAUUAGAUACCCUUGUAA
rnacentral:rRNA from 1 species